rnacentral:rRNA from 1 species
AUUGAACGCUGGCGGCAUGCUUUACACAUGCAAGUCGAACGGCAGCGCGGGCUUCGGCCUGGCGGCGAGUGGCGAACGGGUGAGUAAUACAUCGGAACGUGCCCAGUAGUGGGGGAUAGCUCGGCGAAAGCCGGAUUAAUACCGCAUACGACCUGAGGGUGAAAGCGGGGGAUCUUCGGACCUCGCGCUAUUGGAGCGGCCGAUGGCAGAUUAGCUAGUUGGUGGGGUAAAGGCCUACCAAGGCGACGAUCUGUAGCUGGUCUGAGAGGACGACCAGCCACACUGGAACUGAGACACGGCCCAGACUCCUACGGGAGGCAGCAGUGGGGAAUUUUGGACAAUGGGCGAAAGCCUGAUCCAGCAAUGCCGCGUGUGUGAUGAAGGCCUUCGGGUUGUAAAGCACUUUUGGCGGGAACGAAAAGGACUGUGCCAAUACCACGGUUCGAUGACGGUACCCGCAGAAUAAGCACCGGCUAACUACGAG